rnacentral:ncRNA from 1 species
UUAAAGUUUUAUCCUGGCUUAUUCUUUUAUUUUCGGAUUAAAGAUAUAUGCAAAGUAUUCUGUGACAUAUAGAGUUUGAGUUAGAUUUAAUAUCUUGAAAUGUAAAAUCAUUUAGAGGAGUUAUUGAAGUGUAAAUUCGCAGUAUUUGGUACUAAUAUAUAGGUGAAAGCUGGAAUUGGUAAUUUCGAUUGUAUAUCUGGUUAAAAUUUGUGCCAGCAGCCGCGGUUAUACUGAGAGGUAAAGUAAAAGAUAGUUGGUUAAAAUGCUUAAAUGUAAAAUUUUAUUUAAAUGAAUUGUUUUGUGUUAAUAAAGGGUGAAAUCGAUUUUUUGUUGUAUAAUUAAUUUUGUUAAAUGAAGGUUGUUGAGGUUAUUAAGGUUAAGGUAUGGACCAGGAUUAGAUACCCUGUUACACUUUACUUGGAAGUUUAUUAUACCUAGGUAAUAAACAGUUAUGAUCUUGAAACUUAAAGGAUUUGGCGGUAAUUUAGUCUAGUUAGAGGAACCUGUCCUAUAAUCGAUAAACCACGUAAUAUCUUACUUUAUCUUGAAAGUUUUCAGUUUAUAUACCAUCAUUAUUAGAUAACUUUAAUAAGAUAAAGAAGUUAUUGAAAUAAUUUUUAGUUAAUAUAUUAGAUCAAGGUGUAGCUAAUGAUAAAGUAGAGAUGGGUUACAAUAAUAUGAGUUUAUAACGAACUUAAGAAAGAACUUUUUUAAUGAAGGAGGAUUUAAAUGUAAAUGUGUUUUAAUAUGACAUAUUGAUUAUAGCUCUAGAUUAUGUACACAUCGCCCGUCGCUCUCGUUAUAUAAAGCGAGAUAAGUCGUAACAUAGUAGGUGUACUGGAAAGUGUACCUAGAAAUU